ACUCCAUCUCUGCUGUGAGUUUAACAUGCAUUUGGGAUACGCAACAUGUGCCAGUUACACAUUAUUUCCAUAUUAGCAUAAUUUCCAGCAUUUUUCUGGAAACAGGUCAGUGUCAAGUCAGUGCAAAGAUAUACUCUGACUCUGAAAUACUUUGUUCAAGUUGGACACUGAAAAUGUGUUGGAGCUCUUAAUUUUGGACCGCCAAAGUGGGAACCACUGUAGUCUUAGCGCUAGUUUGAUAAACCGUUUGUAAGCUUUAUAAACACUGAACACGUGCAAACACGCUUUUGGCUGAGCUAGAGUGUCCUUGUGUAACUCAGCCACUCUUCUGCUAUUAAUCUUCAAUCAGGCCCAGAAUUAAUGUGAAAAUGUAAGAUCAGCAAAAGCUCGUUGAUUUUCAUGACGAUAAAGGAGAUGGACAUGUGAGCGGAAACACUGACUGGGGUAACAUCCAGAUACAUAUCAAAGCUUAGUUGUAAGUGUUUUCAGACAUUUUAAGCAUCACUGUUGUGGGUUUUUCAGAGAACCGAUGAAGAACAUGUUUCUCAGAUUAGUCUUGUUCUGUUUGUGUUUCUGGCGUCUGGAUGGUGAGUUGGGUGAUAUUCUGACACCAGUGUCCGUGAUGGAGGGAGAUUCAUUCAUUCUAAACUCUGGUCUUACUAAAAUAACGGAUGAUAGUCUGAUUCUGUGGGUGUGUUAUCAUGAAAACACUUUACUAGCUGAAAUCAAUAAACGGGCCGACAGCAUCUCUGUAUAUGAAGAUGUUCUUGAUGGGAGAUUCAGAAACAGACUGAAGCUGGACGAUCAAACUGGAUCUCUGACCAUCAUGAACAUCACAACUAAAGAUGCUGGACGUUAUCAACUACACAUCAACUGUAUGAAGAAGGUUUUCUUUCUCACUGUCUAUGUGUUUGGUGAUGAAAUGAAGUCAGUGUCAGUGACGGAGGGAGAUUCAGUCACUCUGAACUCUGGUCUUACUCAAAUAAGAGAAGAUGAUGGUCUGAUUCAGUGGUUGUUUAAAGAUGUUAUAAUAGCUUUAAUCAGCGAAGUGACUAAAGUCUACACUAAUAACAAAGGGAAAUUCAGCAACAGACUGAAGCUGGAUCAUGAAACUGGAUCUCUGACCAUCACGGACAUCAAAAUGAAACAUUCUGGACGUUAUAAACUUCAGAUCAACAGUGUGGUCAAGAGUUUCAUUCUCACUGUCAAUGGUGGCAUUGCAAAUGCACGGAUGUCAGUGUCAGUGAUGGAGGGAGGUUCAGUCACUCUAAACGCUGGUCUUACUGAAAUACAGACUGAUGAUCUGAUUCAGUGGACAUUUGGAAAUAAAAACACCAUAAUAGCUGAUGUAUUGCCUGACAGAUUCUCUGUGUAUGAUGAUGUUCUUGAUGGGAGAUUCAGAAACAGACUGAAGCUGGACGAUCAAACUGGAUCUCUGACCAUCACAAACACCAGAACUGAACAUGCUGGACUUUAUGAACUACAUACCACACGUAUGAUGAUGAUUUUCACUCUUAAAGUCUAUGGUGUUACAGAUGCAGUGAAGUCAGUGUCAGUGUUGGAGGGGGAUUCAGUCACUCUAAACUCUGAUAUUACUGGAUUAGAGGAAGAUGUGAUUCAGUGGGUGUUCAUCAACUCUUUAAUAGCUCAUAUCAAUGUAAAGGCUGACCACAUUACUAUAUUUGAUUAUAAUGAUGGGAGAUUCAGAGACAGACUGAAGCUGGACAAAAAAACUGGAUCUCUGACCAUCACAGACAUCAGAAUUGCACACUCUGGACUUUAUGAACUGCAGACCUACAGAGAGACCAAAUACUGGAAAUUCAGUCUUACAGUCUAUGCUAGUCCACCUGUACCUGUCAUUAGCAGAGACUGUUCUUCAUCAUCAGUAUCGUCAAAGACCAAAUGUUCAUUUCUGUGCUCAAUGGUGAAUGUGGGUCAUGUGACUCUCUCCUGGUACAAAGGAAACAGUUUAUUGUCCAGCAUCAGUGUGUCUGAUCUCAGCAUCAGUCUCUCUCUACCUCUGGAGGUGGAAUAUCAGGAUAAAAACAGCUACAGCUGUGUGAUCAACAAUCCCAUCAGAAACCAGACCACACAUCUGGACAUCACUCAACUCUGUCAACCAUGUCCAGACUCUGAACACUGUUGUGGUUCUACUAAAGCUGUGGUCCGAUUGGUGGUAACUGCUCUGGUGGGCGUGGCUGCUGUGGCUGCUGUUGUUCUUCUGGUUUAUGACAUCAGAUCUGGAAGAGCUGAACAAGAUCGAGCACGUUUUCUCACAUAAGAAACCUAGAUCAUGAUGUAAUUUCUAAUAUUACCAUUUUAAACAUUUAUUAAUCUUAAAUGACUUUUUAUAUUAAUCUGCUGGUAUUGAUUGACAGCUCAUUUCCCCAUUAGAAGAUGAUUUGAGAACAAACAGCAACACAUUCUCACAUUAAUGCUCAAAAUAUUGAAAAAUACUGAAAAUUACCAAGAUUGCUUUGCUCACACUUAAUAUAACAUGCUUUUUUAUAUGUACAAUUGAAUCUCUCAUAUUUGAUAAGACAGUGAUGCUCCUCUACUGGCUGAACACAUGAAAGCAGAUGAAAACCUAUCUCUCUUUGCCAUUUGCAGGGCUUCAGUGUCCUGUUCUCACGAACGCAGUGCUCCUAGAAGCUUCCAGCUCUCAUUCCUCCGGUCUCUGCUGUCGAAUGAGCUAAACUGGUAAACGUUACUCAUCUGCUAUGUCUCAUCUGCUUCAACCUCUCAUUCUCUCACUCGGGUGCCAGCAUUCCUCGACCCUAUGAGCUAAACUGAGGAACGUUACUCAUCUGCAGAAGAAGGACGGCUCCCUGCGCCCCUCCAUUGAUUACAGAGGUUUGAAUGACAUUACAAUAAAGAACAGGUAUCCCCUACCUUUAAUGUCUUCUGCUUUUGAAUUGUUGCAGGGAGCUCGGGUCUUCAACAAGUUAGACGUGCACAAUGCCUAUCACUUGGUGCGCAUUUGGGAUGGGGGAUGAGUGGAAGACGUGUUUAACACCCCUUUGGGACACUACGAGUACUUGGUUCUUCCGUUUGGUCUUACCAAUGCUCCAGCCGUUUUCCAGGGACUCGUCAACAGCGUGUUGGGUGAUAUAUUUAAUCAAUUUGUCUUUGUGUAUUUGGAUGAUAUCUUGAUUUUCUCCCCCUCUCUCCAAUUACACACCCAGCAUGCCAGACGGGUUCUCCAGCGGUUGCUAGAAAACAAGUUGUCAAGGCAGAAAAUUGUGAAUUCCACGCUGAGUCUGUUACAUUCCUUGGCCACAUUAUUUUUACGGGAGGGAUCAAGCCUCAUCCCGCUAAGAUAGAAGCUGUCGCCCAGUGACCAGUCCCUGAUUCCCGUAAGGCUCUGCAGCGUUUCCUGGGUUUUGCCAACUUCUACCGGCAAUAAAUCAGGAAUUUUGGUCAGAUUGCUGCACUGCUCACAGCCUUAACCUCCAUUAAGGUGUCCUUCAGAUGGAACCGGGAGGAGCAGGUAGCCUUUGACAUUUUAAACUUCCGUUUUGUCUCUGCACCUCUUCUGUUGGUACCAGAUCCUGAGGCCCAGUUCAUUGUCGAGGUUGAUGCUUCGGACGUUGGGGUUGGCGCAGUUCUAUAUCAGUGUUCCCUCUGUGACGGGAAGGUCCACCCGUGUGCGUUCUUCUCUCGUCGUCUCAGCCCUGCAGAACGUAAAUACGACUUUGGCAAUAGAGAGCUAAUGGCAGCACGAUUUGCCUUGGAUGAGUGGCGUCACUGGUUGGAGGGGUCGGUGGAGCCCCUCUUGGUCUGGACAGAUCACAAGAACCUGGAAUACAUCCGUUCAGCCAAGAGGCUGAGCGCUCUUCUUUGCCAGAUUCAACUUUACCCUCUUGUACCGGCCGGGAUCUAAGAACACCAAAUACGAUGCCCUCUCUCGCCUGUUCGAGGCCCGAGGGAGGGAGUUUGUGGCCGAGGCCUUCAUUUCUUAGGAGGUGGUGGUCGGGGCUCUUUCGUGGGGUAUCGAGCAACGGGUAGAGGAAGCCGGUCUAGGGGUGCAGGUGCUUGGAGAGUGCCCGGCGGGCAGGUUACUGGUGCCAGCUGCGCUGUGCUGUGAGGUCCUUGAGUGGGGUCACGCAUCCAGGUUAGUCUGCCAUCCAAGUAUUCAGAGAAUGUUGUCUGCCAUCCGACAACGCUUCUGGUGGCCUGCUAUGGCUGCAGAUGUUAGACCGUUUGUGUUGGCCUGCCCCACAUGUGCCCAAUGUAAGCCUGUCAAUCGCCCUCCUGAUGGUCUACUUAAUCCUCUCCCUAUCCCUUCCUGCCCUUGGUCACACAUCGCCCUUGAUUUUUUCCUCUGGGCUUCCACUGUCGAAGGGUAACACUGUGAUUCUCACGGUGGUGGAUCGCUUUUCCAAAGCAGUUAAUUUCAUCCCCCUGCCCAAGCUGCCCUCCGCCUGGGAGACCGCCCAACUGGUGGUGGAUCACGUCUUCCAUCUCCAUGGGUUGCCGGUGGAUGUGGUUUCAGAUAGGGGUCCCCAGUUUGUCUCACGGUACUGGAGGGAAUUUUGUAGACAGAUUGGGGCCUCUGCGAGUCUGUCUUCAGGUUUUCAUCCCCAGACCAAUGGAAAGUGUGAGCGGGCCAACUAGGAUCUAGGAAGAAUGCUCUGCUGUCUAACAUCCAACAAUCUGAGUUCCUGGUGCCAGCAGCUCUCCUGGGCAGAAUACGUUCAUAACACCCUUCCUGUGGCCACGUCAGCUAUAUCUCCUUUUGAGUGUGCCAUCGGUUAUAACCCACCUCUGUUCCUGUCACAAGAACCAGACACAGUGGUUCCAUCUGCCCUGGCUUUCGUCCAGCGCUGCCGUCGCAUUUGGGAGAAAGUCAGGAGGAUUUCCGUCCAAACCUCUGACCGAACCAAGACUGCAGCCGAUCGUCGCCGGUCCUCUCCUCCUGCCUAUGUGUGUGGUCAGCAGGUUUGGCUUUCUUCCAAGGAUCUGCCUCUCUGGGGGCCUUCUCGUAAGCUGGCACCCAGAUUCAUUGGGCCAUUCGGCAUCACCAAGGUGGUUAGUCUGGCUCAAGCUUCCUCCUACUCUUGGUCAGGUUCUUCCGGUUUUUUCAUGUUUCUAGGGUCAAGCUGGUGUUCUCUUCCCCCCUUAAUCCUGUUUGUAGUUGCCCCACCGCCCACCCCCUCAUCUUGUGGAUGGAUCUCCUACCUAAACGGUUAAAAUAUUACUCGAUGAGUGGCGCCGCGGCAAGGGGUUUCACUAUCUUGUGGACUGGGAGGGUUAUGGUCCAAAGGAGAGGGGCUGGAUGCCAUCCCGGGACAUUCUGGACUGCUCGUUCAUUGAGGACUUCCAUCUGCAUCGAGGUAGGCCCCUUCCUGGAGGCGCCAGGUGACUGUCGGGUUCGGGGCUAAUCACCUGCCUUUUUGGGUUGUGAAUAUGUGUUGUGUGUUUGGAUGGUUUGACAGCUCCCCGCGUCUGUCUGUUUAAUUUGAGUUUCCCCCCACCCUCCGUGUUUCUCCGUUGUUGCCUUAAUUGUUUGCCACCUGAUCUCCAUUUCUUCUAAUUUCUUCCCUUUAUAAUUCCCUGUGCUUUUCUGUUCAUUGUCAGACUGUUGUUACUCGUACCAAUAGCUCCGAUCUACUAACUGGUCUGUGUACUCACCUUGUCAUGUGUUGUCUUCAGGCUCCAGUGCUCCUAGAAUCUUCCAGCUCUCAUUCCUCUGGUCUCGGCUGUCGAACGAGCUAAACUGAUGAACAUUACUCAUCUGCUCUGUCUCAUCUGCUUCGACCUCUCAUUCUCUUACUCGGGUGCUGGCAUUCCUUGACCCUACAAGCUAAACUGUGGAACGUUACUCAUCUGCUCUGUCUCAUCUGCUUAAAUAAAGCACAGUGUAAAUCCGCAACUGAAUCCAGCCUGAUUCUCCUGACAAAAAGAGAACCCUGUUUGAAAAGUAUAGUGCAGUGGUUCCCAACCUUUUUCAGCUCGCGGCCCACACAACAACACACAUAUGUUUGCGCGGCCCACUUCAAAAAAAUUAACUGUUCCCGCUAUUGUUGGGUUAAUAACUAAGUACUCAGAAGCUAGAUUAUUAACUGUUUUCAUUGAAUGAACUAGGGCUGUGCGAUAUGGACAAAAAAAAAAAAAAAAAAAAUAACUAUCGCGAUUUCUUUGAUCAAUUUUGCGAUUGUGACACACACCGAUAUGCUUUUACAGUCAUAAAUGCAUUCAGGAUUAAUUUGAAACAUAUUCCCAAAAGAAAACCAAUUAGAGCUUUAUCAAAAAAUUGUAACGUCUCUAGAACAGACAUAAGUCAAAAUUAUCACUAUAUUAAAGAUGUAACAAAAUGUAUAGACUUAUGGCAAAAAAAAAAAAAAUCCCCUGCCUCAGAUGUUUGCAGUGUGUAUACAGUAUGUGUAUGCGGUCAGCAGCAAGAGCGCAUAAAUAUAACGCAAAAGCACAUUAAAAUAAUGCACGAGCGUGAAUCUCUCUGUCCGCACGCAGAUUUUGUUUGAGGUCAGGGCCGCGGAAAAUCGUGCUAUAAAGCGAUUUAGAAAUCGCGCACGCUCAAAUCGUGAUUUUAUGACAAUUUCUAUUAAUCGCACAGCCCUAGAAUGGACUGGAAAUGAACAGAAAAUAACUCUGGUUGGCGACACUCAGCAAAACGGGAAAUCAAGAUCCAGGCAGAGCUUGGCAGCGGGUAGGCAGUCAGCGGAGCAAGCAUUCACAACAGCCAUUUAUGCAUGUUUGAAUUUGUUGUUCUAUAGCAUAUGCAGCAAAAAUAUCUAAGAUAAAUUGGUGGUUUAUUCUUAAACCAAUCAGCGAGCUCGAAUAGUGGAAGCAUAGUAACAGUUUAAUAGUUAUGUUAUGACUUAGACAUUUUUACUUAUAUUAACAAUAUUAUUUAUUUUAAUAGUAAUUGGCGGCCCACCUGCAAUACCACAGGUUGAAAACCACUGGUAUAGUAUUUAGCUUUUAGGGUUAAUAGUCUUCAACAACUGCAAAGAACUCCUAUUGCUUGAAGUUUAAAAACUGUAUUGCUGAGAACAAUGUAGUGCACCUGAAUGAGAAAAGAUAAGUUCACUUUCUGAAGCUGCAGUUUUAGCGAAUGAGUUUUCACUUACACACAGGUCAGUAUUUUCUUCUACACAUUAGUUUAGACACCAUAAUUUCAUGAAUGAGCAAACAGAGAGGGUAAUGUCAUCUGUUCAUCUCUCUGAGAAAUCGGAGCAAGAUAAGUCUGUGCUGACUCGCUUAAACCGCAAGCGUGUCUGUUUUUACUGCUUAGAUCCAGGUCACCUGAUUUCCACCUGAAAAAUGCAACAGUGCAGCUAUUUCUCAUGCUGGUUCUGUCUCUGAACACUCAUUUCCAUAGCUCUAGCAUGCUGGCUACCAACGCUUCCUGUUAACUGGCUCUGGGUCUCUUUUAGCUGACUCACUUGGCCGACCAGUAUCAAUCCUGUGAGAUACAUGGGCAGCUAAGUCCUUUAUCUUAGCUAAUACAUUACCUUACCUAGGGGUCAUUCUAUCAUCACCAUUAUAGUUUACAGGGAAUCCAAAGUGCACCCAAACACCAGACCGGUUGGUUAUUGGAGGAUCUUCUAUUUCUGGUCUGUUAAAUGCGUUGGCCAUUUUGCAACAAGCCUUCAGCGUGUACUGAGUGAGCGAGCGCAGUACUCUGUGGUGGAAAACGCAGGUUUUAAGAACAUGCUUAAUGUCAUUGAGCCCCGUUACAAUAUUCCUUCAUGAGCCCAUUUCAGCCAGACCAUAAUUCCUGCUUUGUUCCAAAAAACAUAAGCCCUAUAGAGAACCAAUUGAGUAAAAACACACUCAAUAUAAAGAGUUAUUGUAACGUUUGAUCAGGCUCCCGUCCACCAGAGGGAGCCUUCACCUGAAUUCUGAACUCUGCCACUUCCUGUUCCUGCCACAUCAGUUCCUGUCUUGUCAUUUCCUGUCACCCUGUAUUUAAGCCAUGUGUUUGCUAUGCCACAUUGCAAAGUAUUGCCAGUUCUCUGCCUUACUAAGCGUUUUUCAUGUCUCCUUUGCUGAUUGUUACGACCAUUGCUUUUGCCUUUUUGACUCAUGUUUUUGGAUUACUGUUUUGGAUUUGUUUGCCAUUGGACUGUUUUGCCUGUAUUUUGACAAAAGCCUGUGACCUGACUACGAGUUGUGAUUACCAUUUGGAUUUUUUCAGCAGACCAUUUAAUAAAGACCCGCUUAUGGAAUCUACACGGCCUAAAUCCUCCUUACAGUUAUAGAGUUCCAUAUAAAAAGUUACAUCUUUGUAUUUGUUCAUAACUACUACAACAAUAUAACAUUUUCAUUUUUUUUUUUAAAUAAGCAGCUGUUUUUGUUUUAUACAGUAUGCUGCUAAGAAAACACCAUAGAAUAGCUCCAUCAGUUCAAUGUAAAAAAAAUAAAAAUAAAUAAAUAAAUAAAUAACAUUGUAAGUUUUAAUAAAUACAAUUUUAAAAAAAUCAAGGAAAUUUAUCUGCCAAUUUUUUAUUUUUGAUGUAUCUAAAACGUACCGAACUGUGACACCAGUGUAUCGUAUUGAACCGAACCGUGAAUUUUGUGAACCGUUACACCCCUAAUUAUUUCCUUCAUUUUUAUUGAAAAAAAAAAAAAACCUUUGAUGUGAUAUGAUUUGUGUAAAGAGACACACUGUAAAAGAAAACUACUGCAUAGUUUCCACUAUGGAAUAUUAAUCAAUAAUCUUUUAUGUCCAAAGAAAAAAGAAACCUACUGGUUUGGACUGACACUAGUGGGAGUAAAUGAUGA